rnacentral:misc_RNA from 1 species
GUAGGUGAACCUGCGGAAGGAUCAUUAAUGAAUAUCUAUGGCGAGUUGUAGCUGGCUCUUAGGAGCAUGUGCACGCUUGUCAUUUUUAUCUUUCCACCUGUGCACUCUAUGUAGGUCUGGAUAACUCUCGCUCUAGGGCGGAAGCGAGGAUUGCUGCGCCGCAAGGCCAGCUCUCUUCGAAUUUCCAGAUCUAUGUCCUUUAUACACCCCAAUUGAAAAAUGCAGAAUGUCGUCAAUGGGCUCUAAGCCUAUAAAACAAAAUACAACUUUCAGCAACGGAUCUCUUGGCUCUC